rnacentral:misc_RNA from 1 species
CCUACCUGAUUUGAGAUCGAACGUUAAAAAGCUGUCCUCGCUGAGGAGAGACAUCUAUGAGCUCCAGCGAACCUUUGUCACCAAAGGUUACCUGGUGGACAACCGCGAGCGUAGAUAGUUAUCACACUCGUGACGCCACCAAACACUGGGAGGCUGAUUCAUUUGAGAGGAGCUGACCACAGGCCAGCAAAACCCCCAAGGUCCAAGCUCAUCACGGCAAACCAUGAGAGUUGAGGUGUUCAUGAUACUCAAACAGGCAUGCCCCUCGGAAUAGCCAAGGGGCGCAAGGUGCGUUCAAAGAUUCGAUGAUUCACUGAAUUCUGCAAUUCACAUUACUUAUCGCAUUUCGCUGCGUUCUUCAUCGAUGCGAGAGCCAAGAGAUCCGUUGCUGAAAGUUGUAUUGUAUUGCGUUAGACGCGGCAUACAUUCCAUAAGACUUUAUUACAGUGUGUGUGUAAAGACAUAGAACCACGGAAGGAAGACGGGGUCCCCCAUACCGUAGAACUACAGAGGGUGCACAGGUGUGAGUGGAUGUGUAAACAGAGCGUGCACAUGUCCCCAUUUGAGGACCAGCAACAGCCCGUUUGACAAUUCAGUAAUGAUCCUUCC